CCUGGUCUCAGUGAAGACCUGUGCGAACCAGAAGCUCCACAAGCUGAAGGAAAGCUAUGACCACCUCGUCCAGAGAGUCACAGAGCUACAGGAGCGCAACGACAAACUGGGACAAGAGAACCAGAAACUCCAAGUGCUCCUGAAGAAGCAUGGCAUAGAUUACUGAAUCAUCAGCCUGUUGUGAAGUCACUGUUCUGCAUUUCCACACCACGUGGGUUUAAUUCAUGCCUUCAUUCGCUUUUUACAUCUGACUGAGUUGCCACUGCACGUAAUCAUACUCUGUACUACUUGGCACAUUACCUUUAGACUAACUUAUGCAGGCUUUCUGUUGUAGUUAAACCAGUUUGAGGUGUGCAUGUGGCAGAUGACUUUCAGACAUUUGGAUGCUGCUGGACAUGAUUUUUUAAAGCUUUGAGGCCUUUCCCUUCAUCUCCAUAUAAAUAGCUGGAACAUUACCAUGUCUGAUAACAUGUAUAUAAAAAUAAACUAGAAUGAAAUGAUGAUUCAGAAUACUAUAUGUUGUAUAGAAAAAUCAGUUUUACUUGAAAUUUUGAAUAAAUGAAAUAUUUUCAUUUAUGAAA